AACGCUAGCGGCAGGCCUAAUACAUGCAAGUCGAGGGGUAACAGGAAGUGCUUGCACUUCGCUGACGACCGGCGCACGGGUGAGUAUCGCGUAUACAAUCUGCCUCAUACUAGGGAAUAGCCCGAAGAAAUUUGGAUUAAUGCCCUAUAGUAUCUUUUUAAGGCAUCUUAUUAAGAUUAAAGGUUACGGUAUGAGAUGAGUAUGCGUUCUAUUAGCUAGUAGGUGUGGUAACGGCACACCUAGGCUACGAUAGAUAGGGGCCCUGAGAGGGGGAUCCCCCACACUGGUACUGAGACACGGACCAGACUCCUACGGGAGGCAGCAGUAAGGAAUAUUGGUCAAUGGACGAAAGUCUGAACCAGCCAUGCCGCGUGCAGGAUGACUGCCCUAUGGGUUGUAAACUGCUUUUAUAUAGGAAGAAAAACUUUCUCGUGAGAAAGCUUGACGGUACUAUAAGAAUAAGGAUCGGCUAA
rnacentral:rRNA from 1 species